UACGUAGGGGGCAAGCGUUGUCCGGAUUCAUUGGGCGUAAAGAGCGUGUAGGCGGCCAGGUAGGUCGGUUGUGAAAACUGGAGGCUCAACCUUCAGAGGUCGACCGAAACCAUCUGGCUAGAGUCCGGGAGAGGAGAGUGAAAUUCCUGGUGUAGCGGUGAAAUGCGCAGAUAUCAGGAAGAACACCCGUGGCGAAAGCGGCUCUCUGGAGCGGUACUGACGCUGAGACGCGAAAGCGUGGGGAGCGAACAGG
rnacentral:rRNA from 1 species